GGUGUCACCAGUGAGGAAAGCUCUCAUUAAGAUGAAGCAAAGUCUUGUGGUACUCGUUUGUCUCUGUGUCCUUACCUGGGCUGUAUUAGGAGCCCCUAAUUCAAGAAGAAGGAGCUGCUGUCUGAAAUAUUCAGCCAACUCACCCAGUAUUGGAAGAAUCCUGAGGCACAGAAUUCAGGAACAGAAUGGCCAUUGUAGAUUUGAUGCUGUGGUAUUUUUUACCAAACGCGGUCGCAUCUGUUCAGAUCCAAAUGAUGCGAAAGUGCAAAAUCUUCUGAAAAGACUUGCCCAAAGAGAGCAGGGAAGAUGAAGAUGACAGUGAUCUUCUUUAACAGACUAUUGGCUGUAAAGAGUAUUCAAAUGGAAAACUGCAUUUUUAAUUUCUAGCUGUUGCACAAUUUGCAAGUUUCCAAGUAAUCCUGAAAUUUAUACAUCAAAAUUAGAGUCAAAUCUUCAAACAAUAUUGGUCAAAUUUGAUCUGCUCGUCAGUGUGUGUUAUCCCUCUAUAUUACUAAUUGAUUUAUUUGGUUUUAUUAUGAUUACAACUAUAGCAGCUGAUCAAAUAGUGCAUCACCUGUUAAUAGUCAGAUGUUUCACUCCAGAAUCCCUCUUCCGUCCAUUAUUGUAUUCUCAAUAGGCUUCACAGGAACAGUAAUUUCUAUUUCAGGUAGAUCUUGGGACAGAGUAGAUCAUGAGUAGAUCUCUGUCCUCCUGGCUUUUGCCAUGGUAGGUUCAGCAGAAAAAUCAUUCAGUUUUGCUUAUGUAAGUAUCUAAAUUUGCUGUUCUUGUAAGGAAGUGUAACUGCUUAUUAUGGUCCCAUAUAUUACUGAUUAGUAUAUGGUUUACAACCUGUCAUAUUACUGAAUGUACAAAUUGUUACCGUGUUAUUUAGCAUACUGAUGGUGUUCUAAUAUAGAACACAGUGACUGCUGCAAUUUUUUUCUGUAAUUAAAGUGUCUUCUAACCAGGCAGGUUGAAAUCAUUUAUGUCAUUUUUUAUCUUUAUGUCAAAAACAUACUGAAUAAAGACCUUAUUGACUGAAGUGAUCAAAACUGGUAUUUUUAAAGCAAGAUAAGCGACAAUCCCCGACUUUGUAUUGUAAUUCCAAUGGAAUUGGAUACUGUUUUUUAAUUUGUUAUUCAAUGUUGCACUUUUACAAAUAUAUGUUUAUAAUGUCCUGCAGACCUAAUUGCCUCUUUAAAAGAUGUAUUUUAUUAUUUAUUUCAUUUGUCAUUUCUCUGUAUGUUUUCAUAUGCCUAAAAUAUAUAUAUUUAUAUUUUUGAAAAUAAAUUGCCUUGGAAUUUUAUUGUGAGCUUUUGUGCUUUUACAUAAGCUGCAAAUCCACCUGCUUCCUAAAUUUUCAUUACUCCAUUUAAAAUGAGACAAUAAAUUGAUUAAGCUCACACAAACAAUGUUCUGAUUUGUAACAACUGGACAUUUCAUUCCACCAGUCAUUGUACUCACACAACCAGUUGUGCCUGGAUUCCAUGUG